AACGAACGCUGGCGGCAGGCUUAACACAUGCAAGUCGAACGCCCCGCAAGGGGAGUGGCAGACGGGUGAGUAACGCGUGGGAAUCUACCCAUCCCUACGGAAUAACUCAGGGAAACUUGAGCUAAUACCGUAUACGUCCUUCGGGAGAAAGAUUUAUCGGGGAUGGAUGAGCCCGCGUUGGAUUAGCUAGUUGGUGGGGUAAAGGCCUACCAAGGCGACGAUCCAUAGCUGGUCUGAGAGGAUGAUCAGCCACACUGGGACUGAGACACGGCCCAGACUCCUACGGGAGGCAGCAGUGGGGAAUAUUGGACAAUGGGCGCAAGCCUGAUCCAGCCAUGCCGCGUGAGUGAUGAAGGCCCUAGGGUUGUAAAGCUCUUUCACCGGUGAAGAUAAUGACGGUAACCGGAGAAGAAGCCCCGGCUAACUUCGUGCCAGCAGCCGCCGUAACAC
rnacentral:rRNA from 1 species